GGAGAGAUGGUCGAGUGGUUUAAGGCAGCGGUCUUGAAAACCGCCGUGGCGCAAGUCACCGAGGGUUCGAAUCCCUCUCUCUCCGCCA
rnacentral:tRNA from 2 species